rnacentral:rRNA from 1 species
GAUGAACGCUAGCUACAGGCUUAACACAUGCAAGUCGAGGGGAAACGACAUCGAAAGCUUGCUUUUGAUGGGCGUCGACCGGCGCACGGGUGAGUAACGCGUAUCCAACCUGCCCAUCACUUGGGAAUAACCUUGCGAAAGUAAGACUAAUACCCAAUGACAUCCCACGAAGACAUCUGAAUGGGAUUAAAGAUUUAUCGGUGAUGGAUGGGGAUGCGUCUGAUUAGCUUGUUGGCGGGGUAACGGCCCACCAAGGCAACGAUCAGUAGGGGUUCUGAGAGGAAGGUCCCCCACAUGGGAACUGAGACACCGACCAAACUCCUACGGGAGGCAGCAGUGAGGAAUACUGGUCAAUGGGCGAGAGCCUGAACCAGCCAAGUAGCGUGCAGGAUGACGGCCCUAUGGGUUGUAAACUGCUUUUAUAAGGGAAUAAAGUGGGUCUCGUGAGACUUUUUGCAUGUACCUUAUGAAUAAGGACCGGCUAAUUCCGUG